UUGGAGGGCAAGUCUGGUGCCAGCAGCCGCGGUAAUUCCAGCUCCAAUGGCGUAUAUUAAAGUUGUUGCAGUUAAAAAGCUCGUAGUUGAACUUCGGGGUUUACCCAUUGGUCAGGCUUAAUUGUCUGCACUGGUGAGAUGAAUCUCUACCUUCUGAGGAACUUUCAUGCCAUUUAUUUGGUGUGAUGGGAAAUCAGGACUGUUACUUUGAAAAAAUUAGAGUGUUUAAAGCAGGCUAACGUCUGAAUACAUUAGCAUGGAAUAAUGAAAUAGGACGGACUGAUUCUAUUUCGUUGGUUUCUAGGAUCACCGUAAUGAUUAAUAGGGAUAGUUGGGGGCAUUAGUAUUCAAUUGUCAGAGGUGAAAUUCUUGGAUUUAUUGAAGACUAACUACUGCGAAAGCAUUUGCCAAGGAUGUUUUCAUUAAUCAAGAACGAAAGUUAGGGGAUCGAAGACGAUCAGAUACCGUCGUAGUCUUAACCAUAAACUAUGCCGACUAGGGAUCGGACGAAGUUAAUUUUAUAAUGACGCGUUCGGCACCUUAUGGGAAACCAAAG
rnacentral:rRNA from 1 species